rnacentral:sRNA from 1 species
AUCCGCAAAGGUUCACUGAGGCCCCGAGCCCCAGCCACUGAGCCACCAAGUCAGCCUGGGCCAGGCCUGGGUGCCCUGUCUGCAAUGGAGGCAGAGACGGGGUCUCGGGGCAGUUCUGAGGAUGCUGGGUACACAGCGGGGGCCUCACCGGCAGGAAUCGCUUAUGCUCUCUCCUGGGCCAAGCUUUGUGGAUGCCCAGCCUGGGGCCGCGGGGAGCUGGCAGGUCAGUGGCAGACACUGGUGGGCAGACCUAGUGUCUGGUAGAACAGGCAUCAAGGAAGUGGUGACCGGAGGGAAGCCAAGUGCACUCAAACCCUCGGGUGUUGUGACUGCAGUGCCUCCCUGUCGCACCAGUACUAUGAGAAGGAUGGGCAGCUCUUCUGCAAGAAGGACUACUGGGCCCGCUAUGGCGAGUCCUGCCAUGGGUGCUCUGAGCAAAUCACCAAGGGACUGGUUAUGGUGGCUGGGGAGCUGAAGUACCACCCCGAGUGUUUCAUCUGCCUCACGUGUGGGACCUUUAUCGGUGACGGGGACACCUACACGCUGGUGGAGCACUCCAAGCUGUACUG